GACAUGACUUAGUGACUGAGCAACAACAGUCUCCUAUUUACCUCCUAUUCCUCCUUUCUUUCUCCACGUGCCACAUCAGGCAUGGGCAAGGCUGACAUGGACCUUGACUGCUCGCAAAGAGGGGCUCUGACCCCUUUGUCCUCCCAGCCCUUCAAGGUCUGGCUAUCUGGUGCUGGAAUGGGAACAGAGUAGAUGAAGAAUGCAAGCAUCACUACUUCACUCUGCUGGUGAAACCACAACCCUACACCUGGACUUCUUUGAGGUAUCAGGCAAUCCAAGCAGACAUGUAAUCUGGAAUUAGAAUAUGAGCUUCAUCUUCUUAUUGUAAGAACACCCUCUUUCAACUCAAGGAAGUCAAGAAUUCUCUUGACUUCCCCCUCAUUUGACUUGCAGGUCAUGUGGAAGGUAAGACAUUCACUUCUCACAGUGACCCAUGUAUGACAAUGACCUCAGCCAUGGUUUCCUUUCUUCUCAAACUGAGGAGAUUCCCAGCCCAGAGCUGAUGGUAGCAGUACAAGUGUUAAACCCAGAUGCUGUUGGUUCUCUCUUAGCAAAAACUUUAUCCUUUGUUUCAGCCUUGGUCACCAAUUUCUGGGUCAAUAGAAAAAUCCAUUCAAUUUCCUAUUGUGUGCACAAGUUUAGAUUUGGGUCCAAACUAGGCUUCUAUUUCUUUUGGACUUAACUUAUACAGGAUAGAAUUGGGUUUUACUUGGUCCAGGCUGUGGUUAAAAAGUGAAGUUCAAGGGCCAACCAAAACUACAACCGGUCAAGAGAAGGCUGCUCAGGACACAGUUGCAGAGGGCGGGCCCAGCCUGAGUCCUGCGGGGAGUGAAGAUAAGCACCAGGGGAAUCCCCAAGCCCCCCCCACCACACACACCAUCUGCAGAACCACCUGACAUGUGGACAUACCAGGAGAUUUCCAGGGCUCCGCAAAGGCUCCAUCUUUCAGACACUCCUAGCUGAGUCACAGCUAAUGCUGACCUCAUUCAGGCAGAACACCAACACCAUUCACUGGAACUGGAAAUUACCAAGGCUUCUUCAGUUUGGGGGAGGGAGAGGAGAUCACUGCCAACGGGACACCCACUUCAACCCUUUAUACGCGUUGUGGGCCAGUUAGUCUUAGUCACAUCUUCAGGCUCUGACGUCUUCCUUACAAUAAGGCAAACCCCAUCGACCUCAUCAGGAUGGCAGGGGAUUAAUGAGAUGACACUGUAUGUGAAGCACAUAGGACACUGCUUGGCACAGAGCAGAGAGAAUAAAUUCCCAAUCUGCUCACCCCUCAGUGAGACCACAGUGACCAGAAGAUACAUGGUCCCUCCGUCUUCAGGAUGUAGGUAGGUCCACAAUCCAGGCACUUCUCACCAUGACCACUGCCCCACUCUGGUCCAAGCAUUAUUGCCUCUUACCUGAGCCACUGCAGCAGCCUCUGAAGUGAACCCCUGCUCUCACCCUUGCUUCCUACAGUCUAUCAGAACGGUCCUAAAAAAGGUAAGUGGAUCAUGAUACUACAUAAAUCCCUGCAACGACUCUUGUCCUCAUUAGAGUGAACGUUAGUCCCCACAGUCACCUACAAGGCCUUCCACGUUCCACCCACAGUUGCUCUCCUGGCCUAUCUCCAUCCCCCUGGCCGGCUCCCUGUUCUUCUGACACAGUUGGCCAGUUUCUGCCUCGGGGCCUUUGCACUGAAGAGGAAUAUUCUUCCCCUUGACAGCCACAUUACUGUUCCUUUCUUUCAGGUCCUGAAUCAAAUGUCACUUUCUCGGUGGUCUUCUCUGACCACUCUGUUUAACAUGGCAUCAUUUCCCCAUGUGCCUCAAUCAGUGGCUGUCCUGUCCCACUCCCCAUAGCAUUUUAUCUCCUAACAUACCAUGUAAUUUACUGAUUUACAUUACGGUCCAUUUCCCCUUCCUCCUACACACACCAAAAUAUAAAUACCACACAUGUAAGAACUAGUGUCUGCACUGUUCAUUGCUGCACCUCAGGAUCUAAGACAGUGCCUAGUACACGUGAGGUGCUCAGGAGUCAGUUGAAUGAAUGACUAAGUGACUAAAAGGAUAGGAGCAUUCAGGAGCAGGAAGCGUAAGACCCAGUUAACUCCUCAAAACGCAGGCUGCAGUCUAAGCUCAGUAAUGCUGAGAAUGAAUCAGAGGAAGGAUGAAGUCAGCUCAGAAGAGGGUGUCCAGACUGAGGAAGUGAGCUCCACCCCUGCCUCAUCUCAUUUUGGACCUAACAUUGGAAAUACAUUUUGAAAGCAUCCUCUUUAGUCAUUCCAAUCACUUGCUUCCUCUAAACUCCAACUUGUCUAGGGACCAAAGUCUGAAACUUUUGCAAGUAGAAGCUGUGUUAGGCAGAAAAAAAAAAAAAGUUCAAUGGCACUUUAACCAUUUUGACUUCAGAGAGCAAGCGUGAUGCCUCAAAGCCUCCCAGCUGCUCCCUGCAGCUCAGCUCUCUCAGGUGCCUGCAGUCUCAGAUUCUCUUUGCCCAAAACAUUGAUUCACACCCUGAAUUGAGGGACACAAGCCUUUCAUGUGUGGGGAUCUCUUCUCACAUGAAUCCCAAGUAAAACAAAAACUAGGUGUAGGACAGCUAUAACUCACUGACAAGCAAUUGCUCCAUCUAAAGGCAUUCAGACAUGAAUGAAUGAAUGAAUGAAUAACACCAGUCAAGUCACACAAAACACUUAAGAUCUGCAAACUGCCAGUCUGCAGUUCCAGUCUUGACUGCAAGCUUAGCCCCUACAGCAAUGCAGAAAUAUAGUAGGCACUCAAUAAAGAGCUGAUGACUGAUCACUGCAGAUGGUGACUGCAGCC